rnacentral:rRNA from 1 species
CGAAUAUAAUUUAGAGAUUGUAAGUGUUGCAGUUUAGGCUAUUUGAGGUACCUUUUGCAUCAUGAUUUAUUGAAGGUCUUUGCUGUUUUGUAUUGACCCGAAAAAUGCCGAUUUCUGUCUUUACAGUUUGGUACUCAGUCUAGGACGGGUAGUUUAGGUUAGAUAAAGAUUAGGGUUGUGAGAAAUAAUUCGGGGCAUUUAAUAUCUGGUUCUGGGGGUUAAUAUAGAUUUAGUUUUCUGGCAAGGAUGUCGGGGAACGGUUAAUAGCAUGUUUACUGGUAGUGAUUUGCGUGGGUUAAAGUUACCCCUGCAUAGUGAUUGUGUUAAGACUCUCUGGUUUAGGUGUUAUGCUUUAGUGGUUUACCCCAGUAUUGAUUAAUUUUAGUAAAGUAUGAUAAAAUAAGUAGGUUUUGAUUAAUUUCAUUUUUUCUCGAUUUUCUCCGGUCUGUUUAUUAAAAACAUUUCCAUUUAGAGUUUUGAAUGGUAGUGCCUGCCCAGUGCUUAAUUGUAAAUGGCCGCAGUAUUUUGACUGUGCUAAGGUAGCAUAAUUAGUUGCCCCAUAAUUGGGGGAUUGUUUGAAAGGUUUGACCAGGGGGGUGUGUAUUAGAUUGAAAUUAAGUCUGAAAUUAAGUUGCUGGUGCAGACUCCAGCAGAAGUUUAUUAGACGGAAAGACCCCGAGAUCUUUAUAUUGCGAUGUUUACUUGGGGCAAGGCCAUAUAGUUUAUGUGGUUUUAGAUCCUAAGGGAUAGAAGGUUUAAGUUACCUCGGGGAUAACUAGGUAAAAAAUGAGGAGAGAUCUUAUCGAUUCGUUUGAUUGCCAUCUCGAUGUUGACUUAGGAAAUGUGGUGAGGUGCAGAAGUUUCAUUACGUGGUCUGUUCGACCCUUUGUUCCUUCAUGAGUUGAGUUAAGACCGGCGUGAGCCAGGUCGGUUCUUAUCUAUAAUUGGUGUGAACUAGUACGAAAGGAUUGUUUGCAUUUUAUGUU